AGAGUUUGAUCCUGGCUCAGGACGAACGCUAACGGUGUGCUUUAGACAUGCAAGUCGAACGAGAAAGCCCUUCGGGGUGAGUACAGUGGCGAACGGGUGAGUAACACGUGGGUAACCUACCCCUCGCAGGGGGACAACCGGGGGAAACCCCGGCUAAUACCCCGUACGCUCCGAGGUCCGCAUGGGCCACGGAGGAAAGGUAGCUUCGGCCAUCCGGCGAGGGAUGGGCCCGCGGUCCAUUAGCUAGUUGGUGGGGUAACGGCUCACCAAGGCGACGAUGGAUAGCUGGUCUGAGAGGAUGAUCAGCCACACUGGGACUGAGACACGGCCCAGACUCCUACGGGAGGCAGCAGUCGGGAAUCUUGCGCAAUGGGCGAAAGCCUGACGCAGCAACACCGUGUGAGCGACGAAGGCCUUCGGGUCGUAAAGCUCUGUUGUUGGGGACGAAGGGCGAAGGGUUAAUAGCCCCUAGCUUGACGGUACCCUUCGAGGAAGCCCCGGCUAACUACGUGCCAGCAGCCGCGGUAAUACGUAGGGGGCGAGCGUUGUCCGGAAUUAUUGGGCGUAAAGAGCGUGUAGGCGGUUCGGUAAGUCUGCCGUGAAAACCUGGGGCUCAACCCCGGGCGUGCGGUGGAAACUGCCGGGCUAGAGGAUGGUAGAGGCGAGUGGAAUUCCCGGUGUAGCGGUGAAAUGCGCAGAUAUCGGGAGGAACACCAGUAGCGAAGGCGGCUCGCUGGGCCAUUCCUGACGCUGAGACGCGAAAGCUAGGGGAGCGAACAGGAUUAGAUACCCCGGUAGUCC
rnacentral:rRNA from 1 species